rnacentral:rRNA from 1 species
AUGACCAUAGCAUGUGGUUUCUCUCGCUUCCUCAGCACGCGCGUGCAUUCCUCCACAAAUCGCGUCCUCAGCCUCUGGUUCGCCUCCUGUCCCUGCUCGUCCUCCUCCGCCUCCGCCUCGGAGCCGCCGGAGAUAGCCGCGGCCCCGGAGACCGUCAGGGAAGGGCGGGCGGAGAUAUUCGCGGACAAGUCCAAUUCGGUCUUCUUCAACAAGGCUCAGGUUAACAACAGAGACCUUUCCAUUGCUGUUUUGAGAUGGUUUAUUUCGAAAAGACAGGAAGAGCAUGAUACCCAAUUAAAAGGCAGGCGUGCUGAAAUACCGCCGGAGCAGCAUGCCGAUGGAUUGGACCCUGCUACCACAGGAUCUGAAGACACUGCAUUGAGAGAGGAAUCGAGCCUUAAAGCACCUAAAGUUCUUGAGGCUUUGGCUGCAUCAGGGUUAAGAGCUAUCCGAUAUGCACUUGAGGUGGAUGGAAUUGGGGAAGUUAUAGCUCUUGACAAUAAUGAAGUUGCUAUAGAAUCCUGUAAGAGAAAUAUCUAUCACAAUGGCAUUCUUGCAUCUUCGAAGGUGGUGCCACAUCUUGCUGACGCUCGCAUUUACAUGCUCACUCACCCUAAAGAAUUUGAUGUGGUUGAUCUUGAUCCUUAUGGAUCACCAGCUGCAUUCCUUGAUUCAGCAGUUCAAUGUGUUGCAGAUGGUGGUAUCUUGAUGUGCUCAGCUACAGACAUGGCAGUGCUUGCUGGGGGCAAUGCAGAAGUUUGUUUUUCCAAAUAUGGUUCUUAUCCAGUAAGAGGCAAAUACCGCCAUGAGAUGGCCUUGAGAAUUCUUCUUGCCUGCAUCGAGUCACAUGCUAUCCGCCACAAGCGCUAUAUAGUUCCUGUCAUAUCAGUGCACAUGGAUUUCUACAUUAGGGUUUUUGUGCGAAUCUUCACGUCGGCUAGCACGGUGAAAAGCUCACCUCUCAAAUUUUCACAUGUAUAUCAAUGUGUUGGUUGCAAUUCAUUUCACUUACAAAAUGUUGGAAGAAUAAACUCAAAGGAUAAGAGGAAUAUUCCUCUACCAAAUUUUUGCCCUACUGUGCCUCAAGAGUGUUCUGAGUGUGGCGGUAAAUUUGUUAUGGGGGGGCCUAUAUGGAGUGAUCCAAUACAUGACAGGGAUUGGGCUGCUUCCAUUUUAUCAAAUAUCCGAGCAACAAGUGGUUUAUAUCAAGCUUAUGCAAAAAUUUCAGCUAUACUAACGUCAGUAUCAGAGGAAUUGCCCAAUGCACCUUUAUUCGUCAGUCUUCACAGUAUAUGUGCAACAUUGAAGUGCACCAAUCCAACCAUGGUUAUGUUUCAUUCGGCUAUAAGAAAUGCUGGCUAUCAAAUAUCAGGUAGCCAUGCGGAUCCGCUAGCUCUGAAAACAGAUGCACCAAUGUCUGUAAUUUGGGACAUCAUGCGAUGUUGGGUCAAGCUUCACCCGGUAAAAUCUCAACCUGAGAAUCUUCCAGGUAGCAGGAUACUUUCCCAAGAGCCUCAAUUGCAGGCAUCGUUCUCUCAAGCAACUGGGGGUUUAGUUGCACGGAAGAGCCCAAGAUUUCUACCUAACCCUGAAAAACACUGGGGUCCUAAGAUGAAGGCCGGUAGACCACUGAAGAUACUUCCCAUUGACAAAUUCCGUGUCCACGUUUGCUCCCCGGUGCGGCAAGUUUCUGCUGAUCCCAGAAUGUGA